GAUGAGCGCUGGCGGCGUGCCUAAUACAUGCAAGUCGAGCGAACAGAUAAGGAGCUUGCUCCUUUGACGUUAGCGGCGGACGGGUGAGUAACACGUGGGUAACCUACCUAUAAGACUGGGAUAACUUCGGGAAACCGGAGCUAAUACCGGAUAACAUUUGGAACCGCAUGGUUCUAAAGUGAAAGAUGGUUUUGCUAUCACUUAUAGAUGGACCCGCGCCGUAUUAGCUAGUUGGUAAGGUAACGGCUUACCAAGGCGACGAUACGUAGCCGACCUGAGAGGGUGAUCGGCCACACUGGAACUGAGACACGGUCCAGACUCCUACGGGAGGCAGCAGUAGGGAAUCUUCCGCAAUGGGCGAAAGCCUGACGGAGCAACGCCGCGUGAGUGAUGAAGGGUUUCGGCUCGUAAAACUCUGUUAUUAGGGAAGAACAAACGUGUAAGUAACUGUGCACGUCUUGAUGGUACCUAAUCAGAAAGCCACGGCUAACUACGUG
rnacentral:rRNA from 1 species